rnacentral:rRNA from 1 species
CAGCAGUCGGGAAUAUUGCGCAAUGGAGGAAACUCUGACGCAGUGACGCCGCGUAUAGGAAGAAGGUUUUCGGAUUGUAAACUAUUGUCGUUAGGGAAGAGAAAGGACAGUACCUAAGGAGGAAGCUCCGGCUAACUACGUGCCAGCAGCCGCGGUAAUACGUAGGGAGCGAGCGUUAUCCGGAAUUAUUGGGUGUAAAGGGUGCGUAGACGGGAAAGCAAGUUAGUUGUGAAAUCCCUCGGCUUAACUGAGGAACUGCAACUAAAACUACUUUUCUUGAGUGCAGGAGAGGUAAGUGGAAUUCCUAGUGUAGCGGUGAAAUGCGUAGAUAUUAGGAGGAACACCAGUGGCGAAGGCGACUUACUGGACUGUAACUGACGUUGAGGCACGAAAGUGUGGGGAGCAAACAGGAUUAGA